CAGCAGCCGCGGUAACACGAAGGGUGCAAGCGUUAAUCGGAAUUACUGGGCGUAAAGCGUGCGUAGGCGGUGAGUUAAGUCUGCUGUGAAAUCCCCGGGCUCAACCUGGGAAUGGCAGUGGAUACUGGCUCGCUAGAGUGUGUCAGAGGAUGGUGGAAUUCCCGGUGUAGCGGUGAAAUGCGUAGAGAUCGGGAGGAACAUCAGUGGCGAAGGCGGCCAUCUGGGACAACACUGACGCUGAGGCACGAAAGCGUGGGGAGCAAACAGGAUUAGAUACCCGCGUAGUCCCUGUCUCUUAUAC
rnacentral:rRNA from 1 species